rnacentral:misc_RNA from 1 species
GGACUACUAGGGUAUCUAAUCCUGUUUGCUCCCCACGCUUUCGCGCCUCAGCGUCAGUACAAGCCCAGUGUGCUGUUUUCACCUUCGGCGUUCCUCUUAAUAUCUACGCAUUCCACCGCUCCACUAAGAGUUCCACACACCCCUGCUUGCCUCAAGAAACGUAGUUUGCCCAGCCAUUCCCCGGUUAAGCCGGGGGAUUUCACAAGACACUUUCGUUCACGCCUACGCGCCCUUUAAGCCCAGUGAUUUCGAAUAACGCUUGCCACCUUCGUAUUACCGCGGCUGCUGGCAC